AGGACGAACGCUGGCGGCGUGCUUAACACAUGCAAGUCGAGCGAGGCCCGCCUUUCGGGGUGGUGUCCUAGCGGCGAACGGGUGAGUAACACGUGGGCAACCUGCCCCUGGCUCUGGGAUAACUCCAAGAAAUUGGGGCUAAUACCGGAUAUGACCGCUGACCGCAUGGUCUGGUGGUGGAAAGAUUUAUCGGCUGGGGAUGGGCCCGCGGCCUAUCAGCUUGUUGGUGGGGUAGUGGCCCACCAAGGCGACGACGGGUAGCCGGCCUGAGAGGGUGACCGGCCACACUGGGACUGAGACACGGCCCAGACUCCUACGGGAGGCAGCAGUGGGGAAUAUUGCGCAAUGGGCGGAAGCCUGACGCAGCGACGCCGCGUGGGGAUGACGGCCUUCGGGUUGUAAACCUCUUCAGUAGGACGAAGCGCAAGUGACGGUACCUACAGAAGAAGCACCGGCCAACACGUGCCAGCAGCCGCGGU
rnacentral:rRNA from 1 species